rnacentral:rRNA from 1 species
GUGAGGAAUAUUGGUCAAUGGGCGCAAGCCUGAACCAGCCAUGCUGCGUGCAGGAAGACGGUCCUAUGGAUUGUAAACUGCUUUUAUUUGGGAAUAAACUCCGGUACGUGUACCGGCCUGAAGGUACCAAAUGAAUAAGCACCGGCUAACUCCGUGCCAGCAGCCGCGGUAAUACGGAGGGUGCAAGCGUUAUCCGGAAUCAUUGGGUUUAAAGGGUCCGCAGGCGGUCUUAUAAGUCAGUGGUGAAAGCCUAAAGCUCAACUGUAGAACUGCCAUUGAUACUGUAGGACUUGAAUUCGAUCGAAGUGGGCGGAAUGUGACAUGUAGCGGUGAAAUGCUUAGAUAUGUCACAGAACACCGAUAGCGAAGGCAGCUCACUAGGUCUGGAUUGACGCUCAGGGACGAAAGCGUGGGGAGCAAACAGGAUUAGAAACCCUAGUAGUCC